rnacentral:rRNA from 1 species
UACGUAGGGUGCGAGCGUUGUCCGAAUUAUUGGGCGUAAAGGGCUCGUAGGCGGUUUGUCGCGUCGGGAGUGAAAUCCACUGGCUUAACUGGUGGCUUGCUUUCGAUACGGGCAGACUGGAGGUAUGCAGGGGAGAACGGAAUUCCUGGUGUAGCGGUGAAAUGCGCAGAUAUCAGGAGAACACCAGGUGGCGAAGGCGGUCUCUGGACGGUACUGCGCUGAGACGCGAAAGCGUGGGGAGCGAACAGG